rnacentral:rRNA from 1 species
UACGUAGGGUGCGAGCGUUAAUCGGAAUUACUGGGCGUAAAGCGUGCGCAGGCGGGCUUUUAAGCCAGACGUGAAAUCCCCGGGCUUAACCUGGGAAUGGCGUUUGGGACUGGGAGCCUGGAGUGCGGCAGAGGAGACUGGAAUUCCUGGUGUAGCAGUGAAAUGCGCAGAUAUCAGGAGGAACACCGGUGGCGAAGGCGGAUCUCUGGGCCUUGACCUGACGCUGAGGCGCGACAGCGUGGGGGAGCAAACAGG